rfam:Clostridium magnum DSM 2767 CLMAG_contig000003, whole genome shotgun sequence.
UAGAACUCGCCAUUUGAAUUGGUAGGGAAAGUACCUACAUGACUCUGUGUGAGGGGUGACAAAAUUUCUAAUACUCCGACGUGCCCAAACAGUACCAUGUUUGAUGUGCGAAGCUCGGUGAAGGUGCGGAAAAUGUUAUCUGUGAUGAUAGUAAGUACGCUGGAAGCUAAAAA